CCCCCUAUCGUCUAGAGGCCUAGGACACGGGCUUUUCAAGUCCGCGACACGGGUUCGAAUCCCGUUGGGGGGACCA
rnacentral:tRNA from 1 species